UUACUGGGCGUAAAGCGCACGCAGGCGGUCUGUCAAGUCGGAUGUGAAAUCCCCGGGCUCAACCUGGGAACUGCAUUCGAAACUGGCAGGCUAGAGUCUUGUAGAGGGGGGUAGAAUUCCAGGUGUUGCGGUGAAAUGCGUAGAGAUCUGGAGGAAUACCGGUGGCGAAGGCGGCCCCCUGGACAAAGACUGACGCGCAGGUGCGAAAGCGUGGGGAGCAAACAGGAUUAGAUACCCUGGUAGUCCACGCCGUAAACGAUGUCGAUUUGGAGGUUGUGCCCUUGAGGCGUGGCUUCCGGAGCUAACGCGGUAAAUCGACCGCCUGGGGAGUACGGCCGCAAGGUUAAAACUCAAAUGAAUUGACGGG
rnacentral:rRNA from 1 species